rnacentral:rRNA from 1 species
CCUACGGGGGGCUGCAGUAGGGAAUCUUUCACAAUGGGCGAAAGCCUGAUGGAGCAACGCCGCGUGCAGGAUGAAGGCCUUCGGGUUGUAAACUGCUUUUAUAAGCGAGAAAUAUGAUGGUAACUUAUGAAUAAGGAUCGGCUAACUACGGGCCAGCAGCCGCGGUCAUACGUAGGAUCCGAGCAUUAUCCGGAGUGACUGUGUGUAAAGAGUUGCGUAGGUGGCAUAAUAAGUAGCUAGUGAAAGCUGGUGGCUCAACCAUUCAGACUAUUAGCUAAACUGUUAAGCUCGAGACCGUUAGGGGUAACUGGAAUUGCUAGUGUAGGAGUGAAAUCCGUAGAUAUUAGAAGGAACACCAAUAGCGUAGGCAGGUUGCUGGGACGGUUCUGACACUAAGGCACGAAAGCGUAGGGAGCAAACGGGAUUAGAUACCCGAGUAGUC